rnacentral:rRNA from 1 species
AUUGAACGCUGGCGGCAGGCUAACACAUGCAAGUCGAGCGGCAGCGACUUAACUGAACCUUCGGGGAACGUUAAGGGCGGCGAGCGGCGGACGGGUGAGUAAUGCCUGGGAAUAUGCCCUGAUGUGGGGGAUAACUAUUGGAAACGAUAGCUAAUACCGCAUAAUCUCUUCGGAGCAAAGAGGGGGACCUUCGGGCCUCUCGCGUCAGGAUUAGCCCAGGUGGGAUUAGCUUGUUGGUGAGGUAAUGGCUCACCAAGGCAACGAUCCCUAGCUGGUCUGAGAGGAUGAUCAGCCACACUGGAACUGAGACACGGUCCAGACUCCUACGGGAGGCAGCAGUGGGGAAUAUUGCACAAUGGGGGAAACCCUGAUGCAGCCAUGCCGCGUGUGUGAAGAAGGCCUUCGGGUUGUAAAGCACUUUCAGUAGGGAGGAAGGUAGUGUAGUUAACACCUGCAUUAUUUGACGUUACCUACAGAAGAAGCACCGGCUAACUCCGUGCCAGCAGCCGCGGUAAUACGGAGGGUGCGAGCGUUAAUCGGAAUUACUGGGCGUAAAGCGCAUGCAGGCGGCCUGUUAAGUCAGAUGUGAAAGCCCGGGGCUUAACCUCGGAAUUGCAUUUGAAACUGGCAGGCUAGAGUCUUGUAGAGGGGGGUAGAAUUUCAGGUGUAGCGGUGAAAUGCGUAGAGAUCUGAAGGAAUACCAGUGGCGAAGGCGGCCCCCUGGACAAAGACUGACGCUCAGAUGCGAAAGCGUGGGGAGCAAACAGG